rnacentral:lncRNA from 1 species
ACACUUUUCUUCCAAUGGUUGAGUUGUGUUUCUUUGAUCUUGUGCAACCUAUUUAGACCGAUGAUAGGCCGCGGAUAGGUGUGGAAACCCAUCUACAUUGCACCCUGUAUGACACAGAAAAAAAAGCCCAGGGCCUAGGGGUCGGGUGGGGCUCGUUCGGGGUGCACAACGGUUGCGCCAAAAACGGUCCAAAAAUGGCCAAGGCUUUACCAUACGAAAAAUCGUCCGAUUUUUAGCCAUGAGAAAAAC